rnacentral:rRNA from 1 species
AUUGAACGCUGGCGGCAUGCCUUACACAUGCAAGUCGAACGGCAGCACGGGAGUAAUCCUGGUGGCGAGUGGCGAACGGGUGAGUAAUAUAUCGGAACGUGCCCAGUCGUGGGGGAUAACGCAGCGAAAGAUGUGCUAAUACCGCAUACGUUCUAAGGAUGAAAGCGGGGGAUCGCAAGACCUCGCGCGAUUGGAGCGGCCGAUAUCAGAUUAGCUAGUUGGUGGGGUAACGGCCCACCAAGGCGACGAUCUGUAGCUGGUCUGAGAGGACGACCAGCCACACUGGAACUGAGACACGGUCCAGACUCCUACGGGAGGCAGCAGUGGGGAAUUUUGGACAAUGGGCGCAAGCCUGAUCCAGCAAUGCCGCGUGCAGGAUGAAGGCCUUCGGGUUGUAAACUGCUUUUGUACGGAACGAAACGGCCCUUUCUAAUACAGGGGGCUAAUGACGGUACCGUAAGAAUAAGCACCGGCUAACUACGUGCCAGCCGCCGCAGUAAAAC